rnacentral:RNase_P_RNA from 1 species
AGUAAGACAGAUGGUCGCUGCUGCAGAAACGAAAGGCUGCAGGGGAGGAAAGUCCGGGCUUCACAGGGCAGGAUGCCAGAUAACGUCUGGUGGAGGCGACUCCAAGGACAGUGCAACAGAAAUAAACCGCAGGAACCAUUUCCUGUAAGGGUGGAAAGGCAGUGUAAGAGACUACCGCCUUCCUGGUAACAGGGAGGGCACAUGUAAACCCCAUCCGAAGCAAGGCCGAACAGGGAGCAUGGGCGGCCCGUCCGCUUCCGGGUAGGCCGCUGGAACUUGGCGGUGACGCCAGGUCUAGAUAGAUGACCAUCCAACGACAUAACCCGGCUUAUCGUUUUGCUCA